AGCGAACGCUGGCGGCAGGCUUAACACAUGCAAGUCGAGCGGGCACUUUCGGGUGUCAGCGGCGGACGGGUGAGUAACGCGUGGGAACGUGCCCUCUGGUCCGGAAUAACUCAGGGAAACUUGAGCUAAUACCGGAUACGCCCUUUUGGGGAAAGGCUUGCUGCCGGAGGAUCGGCCCGCGUCUGAUUAGCUAGUUGGUGAGGUAACGGCUCACCAAGGCGACGAUCAGUAGCUGGUCUGAGAGGAUGAUCAGCCACACUGGGACUGAGACACGGCCCAGACUCUUACGGGAGGAAGCAGUGGGGAAUAUUGGACAAGGGGCGCAAGCCUGAUCCAGCCAUGCCGCGUGAGUGAUCAAGGCCUUAGGGUUGUAAAGCUCUUUUAUCCGGGACGAUAAUGACGGUACCGGAGGAAUAAGCCCCGGCUAACUUCGUG
rnacentral:rRNA from 1 species